AGUCAGUUCUCGUCCUCUAAACAAAGCAGACUUUCAACAGCGCUCAUGACAUUGUUCUGCGGCGCUCAGCACCAACAGCAGCACAAAACUCAAGGAGAAACGAAUGAACGCUGAGAGCAAAGAGAAGCAAUAAUGAGGAGCUUCUCAUUAAACCAAGAACAUCCUUUACUGGAGGAGAACGAGGGGAGGAGGAGGAGGAGGAGGAGGAGGAGGACGAAGAGGAGAGUCAGGAAAGCCCUGAUGUGGUCUCAUUUGCAUUCCUGCCCACCACCGGGCGUCAUUAGCCAUUCAUGACAUCGGGCCGGAGGAACAUUGAAGCUGAUUGGCCGGGCCUGGAGGGGAUAUGGGAGCUAUGAUUGGCGGAGCCCAGGGGAAAUUGACUUCUUAUUGGUGGUAAUGAAGAGGCCUGAAGGAGAGCACGGCUGAGACAAACACCCUGAAAUGAAGUGAAAUCCGCCGACUGCCUGGAAGGAAGGAAGGAAAUCAAUCUUCUUAAAUAAAUAUGACUUCACAUCAAUGCGUUGAAAGUUUUCCUGCUAAGGUAAAGAGAGAAGUAAAAAGAGAAAAAACAUGAUCCCAUUUCAUGGCGGUAAACUCACGCACACAGAUUAAUUCUGUGUUAUGCAAAUGUAAUUUAGUGGCUGUGUCCUCUGCGCUGGAGUGAGCGAUUAACAACCACUUUCUAUCCUGGUACACCUCCCAUUAACCUGACAAUGACACACACUGAUUGGACCGUGUGUGUCCUUGUGUGUUUGUAUCAGCGCUGCAUACCAACACCAUCCCUGCUUUAAUUAUCUCUCAUAGCUAAGCAGCGUUUCCAGCAACUUUAAAAAACUGCUUUCUCUGCCCUGUCAGAGUUUCUGCCGAAGCAAUUAAAGGAUGUUGGUGUCGCGCGGCGCCGAGGACUCGUUCCGUCAGUGCACCUCAUCCUGUUGGGCUCAUAUGGGGAUAACUGUCAGAGCGUCCUGACAGCUCACAGCGACUCAUUUUUAAGUCCUUAAGAUGUCGUGAUUGACGUUUUCUGUAGACUUAACCGGCUCCAGAUCCUGCUGAUGUUGUUUUAAAGGCAGCCUGAACAUCAACUACAGAUCAAAAAGCUGGCAGGUGUUCUGUCACUGCAUUUUAAGGGUUCAUUUUCAGCAUCUAAAAUGUUCCUGUUGGUUUUAGUUGAAAUGAAAACGACUCCUCACUGUUUGGAUACAGGUACUGUAUGUUAUGUAAGCUAAAGGAUGAUUCAGGCUUUAUUCCAAAUGUUCCUACAAAAACACGUCUCUUAUUACUUUCUCUACUACUAAGAGAUGUGACGAAACCAGAAAUGUAGCAGUCGAUACCAAUACCAAUUCAAUUCCACGGUAUAAAACAAAAGUGAAACAAUAAAUCCCAUGUACUUCAACAUCUACUCCUUUAUUACUGUUUGCAUUCUGGUGUUUGUUAGAGAAGUUAAACUGGUCAUAU